AUGGGGGUGGAAAUCCUGAGCUCCACGGUGGAGCACUACUCCCAGUACUCUUCCAGCGCGUCCACGGCCACGACGGAGUCAGGCGCCGCCGGAAGAUCGCCGAUGGCUCUGAGCCUGCCAGUCGCCAUCGCCGACGAGUCCGUGACCUCGCGGUCGACAUCGGCGCAGUUGGCGUUGUCGCGGUUCAAGGGCGUGGUGCCGCAGCCCAACGGGCGGUGGGGCUCCCAGAUCUACGAGCGCCACGCUCGCGUCUGGCUCGGCACGUUCGCGGACCAGGACUUGGCGGCGCGCGCCUACGAUGUAGCCGCGCUCAGGUACCGCGGCCGCGAUGCCGCCACCAACUUCCCGUGCGCGGCCGCGGAGCCGGAGCUCGCCUUCCUGGCAGCGCACUCAAAGGCCGAGAUCGUCGACAUGCUCCGGAAGCACACCUACGCCGACGAGCUCCGCCAGGGUCUGCGACGCGGCCGCGGCAUGGGGACGCGCGCGCAGCCGACGCCAUCGUGGGCGCGGGAGCCCCUCUUCGAGAAGGCCGUGACCCCAAGCGAUGUCGGCAAGCUCAAUCGCCUCGUGGUGCCGAAGCAACACGCCGAGAAGCACUUCCCUCUGAAGCGCACCCCGGAGACGACGACCACCACCGGCAACGGCGUGCUGCUCAACUUUGAGGACGGUGAGGGGAAGGUGUGGAGGUUCCGGUACUCGUAUUGGAACAGCAGCCAGAGCUACGUGCUCACAAAGGGCUGGAGUCGCUUCGUCCGGGAGAAGGGCCUCGCUGCCGGCGACUCCAUCGUGUUCUCGUGCUCGGCGUACGGCCAGGAGAAGCAGUUCUUCAUCAACUGCAAGAAGAACACGACCGUGAACGGUGGCAAAUCGGCGUCGCCGCUGCCGGUAGUGGAGACUGCCAAAGGAGAACAAGUCCGCGUCGUUAGGCUGUUCGGUGUUGACAUCGCCGGAGUAAAGAGGGGGCGAGCGGCGACGGCGGAGCAUGGCCCGCCGGAGUUGUUCAAGAGGCAAUGCGUGGCACACGGUCAGCACUCUCCUGCCCUAGGUGCCUUCGUCUUAUAG
rnacentral:rRNA from 1 species